rnacentral:lncRNA from 1 species
AAACUCAAACAGUGAAAUGUGUCACUUCAUGCUCAAGCAAAAUUCCUGAGGGUUAAUAGGAUUGACAUCUUACUAUUGUCAGGAAAACAACAAGUGCAGACUUGGAAACGAGGGAGAAUAGAACCCGGAAGUUAAGCGUGCUCAGGCUGGGGGAGUAGGAGGAUGGGUGACCGUUCGGGAAGUUAGAUGAUUUGGAAUGAUGAGGGGUGAUUAGAGAUUAGAGGAUAAAUUGAGCAAUGAUGAGGGGUGAUGAUUAGAGAUUAGAGGUUAAAAUAAUUCAGAAAUUUGAAAAUAAAAACAAUUCAAAAAAAUUUCAAUUUUUUUUAAAAAUCAUAAAAUUUCCUUUAGUCCCGGUUGGUAACACCAAUUGGGACUAAGGGUGGAGCUCCACGUGGCCGUCACCUCCUGUUCUUCAUCGGGACGGCUGAUCUGGAGUCCGUUCGAGGCUCCGGAGAGGGGGAUUCAUCGCCAUCAUUAGCACCAACCUUCCUCCAUCACCAAUUUCAUGAUGCUCACCGCCGUGCGUGAGUAAUUCCAUUGUAGGCUUGCUGGACGGUGAUGGGUUGGAUGAGGUUUAUCAUGUAAUUGAGUUAGUUUUGUUAGGGUUUGAUCCAUAGUAUCCACUAUGUUCUGAGAUUGAUGUUGCUAUGAAUUUGCUAUGCUUAAUGCUUGUCACUAGGGCCCGAGUGCCAUGAUUUCAGAUCUGAACCUAUUAUGUUUUCAUGAAUAUAUUUGUGUUCUUGAUCCGAUCUUGCAAGUUGUAGACACCUAUUACGAGUUAUGAUCCGCAUACCCCAAGGUGACAAUAAUUGGGAUUCUUUCCGGUGAUUACUGUAGUUUGAGGAGUUCAUGUAUUCACUAAGUGCUAAUUCUGUGUUCCGGUUCUCUAUUAAAAAGAGGCCUUAAUAUCCCUAAGUAUUCAUUAGGACCCCGCUGCCACGGGAAGGUAGGACAAAAGAUGUCAUGCAAGUUCUUUUCCAUAAGCACGUAUGACUAUAUAUGGAAUACAUGCCUACAUUUUAUUGAUGAAUUGGAGUUAUUUCUGUGUCACCCUAGGUUAUAACUGUUGCAUGAUGAAUGCCAUCCAACAUAAUUAUCCAUUGCCUACGAGCCUUUAACAUAUUGAUCUUUGCUAAGUUACUUUGUCGUUUCCACUGUUACAAUUGCUACAAAAUUGCUAAUGUUACUUUUGCCACCGUUGCCGUUACUUCCAUACUACUUAGCUAUUAAAAACAUUGUUGCAGAUAUUAAGUCUUUCAGGUAUGGUUGAAUUGACAACUCAGCCGCUAAUACAUGAGAAUAUUCUUUGGCUCCCCUUGUGUAGAAUCAAUAAAUUUGGGUUUAAUACUCUACCCUCGAAAACUGUUGCGAUCCCCUAUACUUGUGGGUUAUCAGAGCGCCGCUAUGAGAUCCAGCAGGAGAUCCGGGCAAGACAAGCCAUGUGUGCCGCCCGCAUUGCUGUCGGGCUCCCUCCAGACUCGUCAAAGCCGGAGGAGGAGGAGCAUCCGGGGGAAGAGGGGGAGGAGGAGCUGGCUCCGAUGCAGGUGGAGGAGGCGGAGCUAUCGGAGCAGCAGUUGCCGGGCUUCAACAUGGAGCAGACGGAGGCGAAGUUCGCCGUUGCCCGGUCUGACGAGAUAGCAGAGCAACAGGCCAUCCUGGAGUCCAUACAGGAUGAGUCCUAUGUGGUGGCCAACCGGGCGUUCCUCCAGCAGGAGUAGGCGGCGCCCUACACGCUCUUCUCCUCGGUUCGGUUCGGCUUCUAGUAUAUCUUCAUUGGUCCAGCUCUUCCUGCCUAUAAGCUUGACCACUGAAAUUAGUGUUUGAUGUUUGAUUCUUGAAAUUGAGCUGUCAAGAUUGGUUGUUCUAAAAUUCUGUAAAUACAUGCUAGCUUGAGUAGUGAAUGCCCGCUGAUUGCCGAAUUGAGAGAGGAUAAAGUAAUAGCAGAACAAAUUGGUAAUUCAAAACCUUAGAUCCGCAACAAAUUGGUUAUUUGUUCGGUUUGGUGAGAAGAUUAACAGAACAAACUCAUAAAAGGGCCUUGAUACGUCUCCAACGUAUCUAUAAUUUUUGAUUGUUCCAUGCUAUAUUAUAUUCUGUUUUGGAUGUUUAUUGGGCUUCAUUAUACACUUUUAUAUUAUUUUUGGGACUAACCUAUUAACCGGAGGCCCAGCCCAAAUUGUUGUUUUUUUGCCGAUUUCAGUGUUUCGCAGAAAAAGAAUAUCAAACGGAGGCCAAACGGAAUGAAACCUUCGGGAACGUGAUUUUCGGAACAAACGUGAUCCAGAGGACUUGGAGUGGACGUCAACCAACAGACGAGGAAGCCACGAGGUAGGGGGGCUCGCCUAGUCCCCUGGGCGCAUCCUCCACCCUCAUGGGCCCCUCGUUGCUCCACCGACGUACAUCUUCCUCCUAUAUAUACCCAUAUACCCUGGAAACAUCAUAUACGGAGCCAAAACCCUAUUUCCACCACCGCAACCUUCUGUACCCAUGAGAUCCCAUCUUGGGGCCUUUUCCGGCGCUCCGCCGGAGGGGGCAUUGAUCACGGAGGGCUUCUACAUCAACACCAUAGCCUCUCCGAUGAUGUGUGAGUAGUUUACCUCAGACCUUCGGGUCCAUAGUUAUUAGCUAGAUGGCUUCUCCUGUCUCUUUGGAUCUCAAUACAAAGUUCUGCUCGAUUCUCUUGGAGAUCUAUUUGAUGUAACUCUUCUUUUGCGGUGUGUUUGUCGGGAUCCGAUGAAUUGUGGGUUUAUGAUCAAGUUUAUCUAUGAACAAUAUUUGAAUCUCCUCUGAAUUCUUUUAUGUAUGAUUGGUUAUCUCUGCAAGUCUCUUCGAAUUAUCAGUUUAGUUUGGCCUACUAGAUUGAUCUUUCUUGCAAUGGGAGAAGUGCUUAGCUUUAUGUUCAAUCUUGCUGUGUCCUUUCCCAGUGACAACAGGGGCAGCAAGGCACGUAUUGUAUUGUUGCCAUCAAGGAUAACAAGAUGGUUUUAUAUCAUACUGCAUGAGUUUCUCCCUCUACAUCAUGUCAUCUUGCUUAAAGCAUUACUCUGUUCUUAUGAACUUAAUACUCUAGAUGCAUGCUGGAUAGCGGUCGAUGUGUGGAGUAAUAGUAGUAGACACAGGCAGGAGUCGGUCUACUUGUCACGGACGUGAUGCCUAUAUACAUGAUCAUACCUAGAUAUUCUCAUAACUAUGCUCAAUUCUAUGAAUUGCUUGACAGUAAUUCGUUUACCCACUGUAAUACUUAUGCUCUUGAGAGAAGCCACUAGUGAAACCUAUGGCCCCCCGGUCUAUUUUCCAUCAUAUUAAUCUUCAAACACUUAUCUAUUUCUAUCGCCGUUUAUUUUACUUUGCAUCUUUAUUUCUCUUUAUCAUAAAAAUACCAAAAAUAUUAUCUUACCAUAUCUAUCAGAUCUCACUCUCGUAAGUGACCAUGAAGGGAUUGACAACCCUUUAUCCCGUUACCAUGUGAUAUGUGGUCUAGUUGUUGGGAAAAUUAACAAAUAUGAAUUUCGACUUUAUUUGCAAAAUCUCUCUGGAAUUUGUAAAAAUGGGCAUAGCUUUUGCAUACGAACUCGGAUGAAAAAGUUUUUUAUAUGAAAAAUCAUCUAUUCGAAAAGUUAAAUCCGAAUUAAAUAGGGGAACUUGGUUAUACAUUUUCAAAAUCCUCAAAAACCUAACAGAAAAAAAGUUACGGGGCUUUUAAGAUCUAGAGUGGAAAAAAUCGAAUUUUUUUAAAACUGUGGUCAAACAAUGGUCAAACUAAUUAUUCUAGAAUAUUAGUGUUACUAAAUAAUUAUUUCAGUUAUUUUGAAUUUUGGUCAAAUCUGGUCAAACUGUGGUCAAACAAUGGUCAAACUAAUUAUUCAAGAAAUAUUAGUGUUACUAAAUAAUUUGUUUUUUAAAACAAUAGUUUCAAACUCAAACAGUGAAAUGUGUCACUUCAUGCUCAAGCAAAAUUCCUGAGGGUUAAUAGGAUUGACAUCUUACUAUUGUCAGGAAAACAACAAGUGUAGACUUGGAAACAAGGGAGAAUAGAACCCGGAAGUUAAGCGUGCUCAGGCUGGGGGAGUAGGAGGAUGGGUGACCGUUCGGGAAGUUAGAUGAUUUGGAAUGAUGAGGGGUGAUUAGAGAUUAGAGGAUAAAUUGAGCAGUGAUGAGGGGUGAUGAUUAGAGAUUAGAGGUUAAAAUAAUUAAGAAAUUUGAAAAUAAAAAAAAUCAAAAAAAAUUCAAAAAAAAUUCAAAAAC